CGUGCUGUUCAUCAUAAAAUGUUCACAAAUAACGUAUGUGGACCAAAUUAAUACGGUGUGCUUCAUUUUGUCAGUGUGUUGUGAUAGGUUUCUGUUUCUGUUAUAUCAAAUAGUGCAAUACAACAAAUAUCGAUCCCAGAAGAUAAUGUUCGCAGUUACGAUGAUAACAAUAGAUAAAUAACGGCGUCCAUCCGACUAUUUAGCGAUACACCGUCGAGGGCCGCCAGUCGUGAUUUUGUACUGAAUCUUGUACCACAGAUUGUAAACACUGAGAAAAAUAUAAAUCAAAAUGUGUUGCUGCGUUUGUAACCUGCUUUGCAAGAUCAUUAGUGCAAUCGUCUCCGUUCUGUUUGUCGUCGCAGUCGUACUACUUAUAUUGUGGGGAGUCGGCGUCAUAUUUGCAUAGCAUUGAGACGCCCAAUAAGUCCGCAGGGCUUAUUGAUGGGGAAACGUCGAAAAUGCAACAAUGCUAAACAAAAAGGUUGCAGUAAAUCAAAAUAUUUAUUGUAACAUCUGCAAGUUUAGUUACUAAGGUACAUUUUAAGAAUUUGUAAAUAAGUAUAUUAUAAUUAAUAAAAUGCAGUAUAAAGAAUAUUUAAAUUAAAUUAAUAAUGUAAUCAAAAAACGUUGGUAUAUUUAAGUUGAGCUCUAUUUUGUUUUUCUUUUUAUACCAAAGAUCUUGUUGCUUUGCGCAUAUUACAUGUUCAAUAAAUAAAUCAGUUUACUGAAAAAAACAC